rnacentral:rRNA from 1 species
ACUCCUACGGGAGGCAGCAGUGGGAAUAUUGGACAAUGGGCGAAAGCCUGAUCCAGCCAUGCCGCGUGUGUGAAGAAGGCCUUUUGGUUGUAAAGCACUUUAAGCGAGGAGGAGGCUACUGAGAUUAAUACUCUUGGAUAGUGGACGUUACUCGCAGAAUAAGCACCGGCUAACUCUGUGCCAGCAGCCGCGGUAAUACAGAGGGUGCGAGCGUUAAUCGGAUUUACUGGGCGUAAAGCGUGCGUAGGCGGCUUUUUAAGUCGGAUGUGAAAUCCCUGAGCUUAACUUAGGAAUUGCAUUCGAUACUGGGAAGCUAGAGUAUGGGAGAGGAUGGUAGAAUUCCAGGUGUAGCGGUGAAAUGCGUAGAGAUCUGGAGGAAUACCGAUGGCGAAGGCAGCCAUCUGGCCUAAUACUGACGCUGAGGUACGAAAGCAUGGGGAGCAAACAGGAUUAGAUACCCUGGUAGUGUACUGU